rnacentral:tRNA from 1 species
GGGGGUGUAGCUCAGUUGGUUAGAGCAUCUGCCUGUCACGCAGAAGGUCGCGGGUUCGAGCCCCGUCACUCUCGCCA